rnacentral:rRNA from 1 species
GAACCUUACCUGGGCUCGAAAUGCUAUGGACCGGGGUGGAAACAUCCCUUCCCCGCAAGGGGCCGUAGUAUAGGUGCUGCAUGGCUGUCGUCAGCUCGUGUCGUGAGAUGUUGGGUUAAGUCCCGCAACGAGCGCAACCCUUACUUCCAGUUGCCAUCAUUUAGUUGGGCACUCUGGCAGAACCGCCUCGGAUAACGGGGAGGAAGGUGGGGAUGACGUCAAGUCCUCAUGGCCUUUAUGUCCAGGGCUACACACGUGCUACAAUGGCCGGUACAAACCGUCGCAAACCCGUGAGGGGGAGCUAAUCGGAAAAAGCCGGCCUCAGUUCGGAUUGGAGUCUGCAACUCGACUCCAUGAAGCUGGAAUCGCUAGUAAUCGCGGAUCAGAACGCCGCGGUGAAUACGUUCCCGGGCCUUGUCACACCGA